UGUACCCUGUAUGGGCAUCUCAGGAGUCUCAGGAGAGGUUUGUUCUGGUGACAUUGGGGACUCGCUGGUGCAGGCCGCCCCGAAACUCUACCUCAGGUAUAAACACACAGCUUACCAUAACUCCCAUAGGGCAUUUACAUUCCUGUACAAUUCUAAUUCCAAAUUUCUUCACAUUUUCCCCCACUUUCUUCCACCGUUUUUCCCAUUCAUCAAUAUAAUGGAACUCUCGAGAGAUAUUUCCUACGGUGUUUGUGUAUUACAGUAUAAAUACUAGAUAUAUUACUAAAUCACACUCUAUGAAGACACAUCUUCCAUGAUUCAACACUAUAAUAAUUCCCUCUGAAGACAUUGCAUGCCAGUGAAUGGAAAUGACCAUAUUUUAAAACAGGAAGAUGUUAGGAGCAGUGUCUGUCUGCCCACCUUAAUAUGAUCGUCAGGGUUUACUCACAUCUAUACUCCUCCACAUACAACUUCCUGAGAACAUCUGUCAUUUACUGUGAAUGGUAACUUUGGUAACAUAAGAGGGGGAAUAACAUGUAAUAGAAAAAGGGACCAUGGCCAUUGGCAAUCUGAAUGGGUUACCAUCAUACUGUCCUAUCAAUGUGUGUCUGUAAAACUGGGAGUGGUCCGAUAUUCUCAUCUAUUGCAACAAGGCUUGUGACUCAGAUUAUGUUGAUCUUCUUAUUGCUGCUUUAUUUUGUCUUAGGUUACCCUAGCCAUAGAUAAGAAUAGAAAGACUCAUCAUUUUUUUGAAGCUUCCCCCUGAGUUCCCCCGAGAGUGUUGUGGUGUGUUUGUGGACUCCUGUGGAGAGAUUGGCUGGUCACAUCUACCUAUAGUUAGUGUGAGUAUUUUGAACUUUCCUAGCUACAAACCCUGGUACUAAGAUGGUGUGUGAUGUGGAAGGGUAAAAGCAGAAGGACAACCCACCCACUGAGAAUCUCCUCAUGUGUAUCUCAUUUGACAUGCUUGACUAAUGGCUGGGUCCCAGAUAAACCCUGAUGGCAGAGGAUAUGAAAAUUCAUGUUGUUUGUGCUAGUGGAAAUGGAAAAACUAAAAUCCAGAUACAUACAUGCAGAUACUAUGAACAACUAAAUAGAGGCGUGUCUUGGUGAAUCAGAUUUGGACAAGGAUGAACAGAUGAGUCAUGCCCUAGGUAUAUCUAAUUUAACUGAGUUUCAGGGUGGUAAAGAGGUACACCAACACAUGCAACAUGUGUGAGCAAGACACUGUGAGCAAGACAAAGGAGCUGAUCGUGUAGUACAGGAAAAGGCGGGCCGAACAGGCCCCCAUUACAUCAACAGGGCUGUAGUGGAGCGGGUCGAGAGUUUCAAGUUCCUUGGUGUCCACAUCACCAACAAAAUAUCAUGGUCCAAACACACCAAGACAGUGGUGAAGAGGACAUGACAACACCUUUUCCCCCUCAGGAGACUGAAAAGAUUUGGCAUGGGUCCCCAGAUCCUCAAAAGGUUCUACAGCUGUACCAUCGAGAGUAUCCUGACCGGUUGCAUCACCGCAUGAUAUGGCAACUGCUCGGCCUCCAACCGUAAGGCACUACUAAGGGUAGUGCGUACGGCCCAGUACAUCACUGGGGCCACGUUUCCAGCCAUCCAGGACCUCUAUACUAGGCGGUGUUAGAAGAAAGACCAAACAUUUUUCAAAGACUCCGAUCACCCAAGUCAUAGACUGUUCUCUCUGCUACCGCACAGCAAGCGGUACUGGAGCACCAAGUCUAGGACCAAAAGGCUCCUUAACAGCUUCUACCCCAAAGCCGUAAGACUGCUGAACAAUUGAUCAAAUUGCCGCACCCCCCUUUUGUUUUUACACUGCUUCUUCUCGCUGUUCAUUAUAUACUAAUCACUUCACUUUACACUUAACUACGAAUUACCGCCACUUACCGGGACCCCCGGUAAUUAUUACUUUUAAUUAUAUUUUACUUUUGUUUAUUUGGUAAAUAUUUUCUUAACUCUUUCUUGAACUGCAUUGUUGGUCAGGGCUUCUAAAAAAAACAUUUCACGUUAAGGUCUACACUUGUUGCAUUCAGCGUGUGACAAAUAAAGUUUGAUUUGAUUUGAACUGUAGGCUACAAAUAAUCAAAUGUCUGUAUACACGGCCCUCCAGGAGAGAACACUGUAUUGUCAUUUUUUUUGUAUUAUUUCAUCACAGGGUGUGUAACUACCAGUCAGCCAUGAUGUUGCAUCAUAGGAUGCGGACGUUGGGACAUGUCGACUUGCAGUCCACAGUCAACAUGAUUGACAGAGAACUAUAUUGAUACUGUAAAUGGCUGCAUUUAUUUUAUUUUUGUAUUUUAUUUUUACAAUACAAAACCAAACAUACACAUACAAAUGACAAGAUACAGACCCACACAAAGAUCCACAACAUCACCCCUGGUCAGACACACCUGCUCACACCCCCAUCUCCAGCGCCAGCAUCACUCUUGGCCACAUGGCUUCAAACUGUACCAUUUUGUUUCUCUCUGUCGCCCACACACUUUCAAACAUUUAGAUAAUAAAUCAUUUGAUAUUUCCACUGUGUUAACUAUGGAGGAUUGGUUGAUUUCCUGUUUUGAAGUACUGUAUAUGUUUUUUUGAAAUGGUUAACGGGAAAAGUAUCAUCCAACCCAUCUGGUAUCUCUCUGCACCCUCAUAUGCCUUGUCUUGAAAUAUACAAACAGACAGAUUAAAAGUAUAUUUACAUUGUAAAUGGCUCAAUUCUUAGAAUGUGUAUUUUUUAUAUUUUUACUCUAGCACUUGGACACAUUAUAGCAGGCAAUUAUAGCAGGCAAUUACUUCAGUCAAAUUUCAUUAGAUUGUUUUUUACAAUCGAAGUCAGCAUUUAUUCAUAAACCCUGACAGAGGGAUUUUAGAUUGUGACAUCUGAUGUGACAUUCCUAAAUGUUUAGUGGAACUAUACUGUGCUAUUGUAUCUUCCAGCAGAGAAAGUUACCCUUAGAGUAGCUUUUCUCUUUCUGCCCCCCCCCUCUCUCUCUCUCUCUCUCUCUCUCUCUCUCUCUCUCUCUCUCUCUCUCUCUCUCUCUCUCUCUCUCUCUCUCUCUCUCUCUC